GGGAAUGAAGCUCAGUGGUAGAGUCCUUGCCUUGCAUGCAUGAGGCUCUGGGUUCGAUUCCUCAGCACCA
rnacentral:tRNA from 1 species